UACGGAGGGGACUAGCGUUGUUCGGAAUUACUGGGCGUAAAGCGCCCGUAGGCGGCUUUGUAAGUUAGAGGUGAAAGCCCGGGGCUCAACUCCGGAAUUGCCUUUAAGACUGCAUCGCUCGAAUCCGGGAGAGGUGAGUGGAAUUCCGAGUGUAGAGGUGAAAUUCGUAGAUAUUCGGAAGAACACCAGUGGCGAAGGCGGCUCACUGGACCGGUAUUGACGCUGAGGUGCGAAAGCGUGGGGAGCAAACAGG
rnacentral:rRNA from 1 species